rnacentral:rRNA from 1 species
AGAGUUUUAUCCUGGCUCAGGACGAACGCUGGCGGCGUGCCUAACACAUGCAAGUCGAACGGAGGUGUUUUGACUGAUCCCUUCGGGGUGACGAUGAUUCAGCUUAGUGGCGGACGGGUGAGUAACGCGUGAGCAACCUGCCUUUCAGUGGGGGACAACAGUUGGAAACGACUGCUAAUACCGCAUAAUAUCCUUUUGGGGCAUCCCUUUUGGAUCAAAGAUUUAUUGCUGAAAGAUGGGCUCGCGUCUGAUUAGCUAGUUGGUGGGGUAACGGCCCACCAAGGCGACGAUCAGUAGCCGGACUGAGAGGUUGAACGGCCACAUUGGGACUGAGAUACGGCCCAGACUCCUACGGGAGGCAGCAGUGGGGAAUAUUGGGCAAUGGGGGAAACCCUGACCCAGCAACGCCGCGUGAGGGAAGAAGGUCUUCGGAUUGUAAACCUCUUUUACCAGGGAAGAAGAAAGUGACGGUACCUGGAGAAAAAGCCACGGCUAACUACGUGCCAGCAGCCGCGGUAAUACGUAGGUGGCAAGCGUUGUCCGGAAUGAUUGGGCGUAAAGGGUGCGUAGGUGGCAGAUCAAGUCUGGAGUAAAAGGUAUGGGCUCAACCCGUACUGGCUCUGGAAACUGAUCAGCUAGAGAACAGAAGAGGACGGCGGAACUCCAUGUGUAGCGGUAAAAUGCGUAGAUAUAUGGAAGAACACCGGUGGCGAAGGCGGCCGUCUGGUCUGGAUUCUGACACUGAAGCACGAAAGCGUGGGGAGCAAAUAGGAUUAGAUACCCUAGUAGUCCACGCCGUAAACGAUGAGAACUAGGUGUUGGGGGAAUAACUCAGUGCCGCAGUUAACGCAGUAAGUUCUCCGCCUGGGGAGUAUGCACGCAAGUGUGAAACUCAAAGGAAUUGACGGGGGCCCGCACAAGCGGUGGAGUAUGUGGUUUAAUUCGAAGCAACGCGGAGAACCUUACCAGGCCUUGACAUCCCUUGCAGAGGUAUAGAGAUAUAUCCGAGGUUAUCAAGGAGACAGGUGGUGCAUGGUUGUCGUCAGCUCGUGUCGUGAGAUGUUGGGUUAAGUCCCGCAACGAGCGCAACCCCUGUCGUUAGUUGCCAGCAUUCAGUUGGGGACUCUAACGAGACUGCCAGUGACAAACUGGAGGAAGGUGGGGAUGACGUCAAAUCAUCAUGCCCCUUAUGACCUGGGCUACACACGUGCUACAAUGGUUGGUACAAAGAGAAGCGAAGCGGUGACGUGGAGCAAACCUCAUAAAGCCAAUCUCAGUUCGGAUUGUAGGCUGCAACUCGCCUACAUGAAGUUGGAAUCGCUAGUAAUCGCGAAUCAGAAUGUCGCGGUGAAUACGUUCCCGGGUCUUGCACUCACCGCCCGUCA